rnacentral:tRNA from 1 species
GAACUAAAGUAACAAAAUAAAGCUUCUAACUCAAAUUUUAAGCGGUGAAACCCCGUUUUUAGUUCU